rnacentral:tRNA from 1 species
GACUCCGUAGCUCAGGCGGUAGAGCAACUGACUUUUAAUCAGUGGGUCGGGUGUUCGAUUCACCCCGGAGUCACCA